GGCAUAUAACCAAUUAGUAAUAAAAAGUAAAUUAAUUUUAUUUCAGAUAUGCUCUAAAUUCCAAAAAAAGCAUAGGAGAAGGAAGAGACUUCUUAUCUGGAUACAAAUAUUUUAAUGUAACCAAAUAACUAAAUUUUAUAAAACAAGUAUGAAAUUUAACCUAAUUUAUGAGUAAAAACAUAUGCCAAAAAGAGUAAACUGGGAUGCAUCAAUCUCCUGAGAAUUUGAGACACAAAUAGUUUUAAACACAUAUGAAAAUGGGUACUUCUAAUAACAAAUAAGUAAUAAAGGAAUGUGACUUUUAGAAAUAAGUCCAUUUAAAUACCAUCUGUGAACAAUAAAUUCUUCAAACUCUUUCAGAGCUGCCGGUGGCUGGAGCCCUGUCCUCCGAAUGGAUGAGAGGCAGCUACCCGCCAAGGCUUCAGGUGACAUCACAAGAAAUGGCGCGGAUCCUUAUUGCCCUGUGCCUUGGCUUCCGCAUCAGCGAACUCCGCCUUCGGUCUUCCAGGCGGCCCGUACUGCUUAGUCGGUAGCAGUGGCCCCACCAGCCCAGCCCCACAGUCCCUGGGUCUCCAGUCUUUCGCUCCUAACAACCCUAUCUGCGCUGUGGCGCUCGGGCCCAACUCCUCACCCGGAUGCAGUGGGUUAGGGGUUGGGGGAACAGACUGACUUGAGCUCGGAGUCCUGAGCCCACACCUUCCAGGCCAGGGUCAGUCCAAGGCAGUCCAAGUUUGGAGAUCCAGUCCCUUCUCCGUUUCCAGAUCUGCGAAAUUCAGUAAAGCUAUACCCAGCCAUUGUCGUCACCAGGGGAGAGAGGCAGAGGGAGAUUUGGCUACAAAAAAAAAAGAAGACAAUGUGAUCUUGAAUCAGGAUGCUACGCUGGUGACUUUGAAAACGGGAGGAGGAGGCCGGGCGCGGUGCCUCACGCCUGUAAUCCCAGCACUUUGGGAGGCCGAGGCGGGCUGAUCACGAGGUCAGGAGAUCGAGACCAUCCUGGCUAGUACGGUGAAACCCCGUCUUUACUAAAAGUACAAAAAAUUAGCCGAGCGUGGUGGCGGGUGCCUGUAAUCCCAGCUACGGGAGGCUGAGGCAGGAGAAUGGCGUGAACCCGGGAGGCGGAGCUUGCAGUGAGCCGAGAUGGCGCCACUGCACUCCAGCCUGGGUGACAGAGCGAGACUCUGUCUCAAAAAAAAAAAAAAGAAAAAAAAGAAAAGAAAAGAAAAGAAAAGAAAAGAAAAGAAAGAAAGAAAAUGGGAGGGGGAGCUAUGAGCCAAGGAAUGUCCCUGUAGAACCUGGGAAGGCCAAGGAAAGCUGCUUCUCCUCUGGUGCUUCUGGAGGGUGUCAGACACCCUGUUUGACAUUUUCAUUUUGGUCCACCGAAACUGAUUGCAGAUUUCUGACCCCUAGACCUGUAAGGGAAUAAAGACAUAUUGUUUUAAGCACCAGACCUGGGUUUAAGAGAGCUUGAGUUGAGUUUAGUGAAACAAAUUACCCAAGCUGAAGUAGAGAGCGAGAGAGGGAGAGAGAGAGACCCAUAAGGAGAUAUUUCUGCCCAGUUUCCAUUUCGCGUGGGUGGCACACGUGACAACCACUGCAUUACAAAAACCACCGUUCACCCAGGAGCUAUCUUUAAAAUUUAAAAUGGACAUUUCCUGAAUGGCUCACGUUCAGUAUUGUGAAAUUAUUGUUUCUUUUAGAGCAUUUUCAUAUUUGUGGCCCUUUUUUUCUUUCCUUAUAUAUUCCAUUCACCAAAACCAACAAUACCCAAAAUCCAUGAUUCAAGACCAAGGAAGGCUUUCGCCCAGUGACCCACAUCCUCAUAAAUACCAUGUCAUCAUGUCAGGAAAUUUCAGGCAGAAUAAGGAGGAAUUUUAUUUCAAGACCAUUGUCCAUACUGUGCUAUGCCUUUUUCUGUAUCCUUCCAACACACCCAAACAUUAACCUCUUGAUUACAGAAAAAAAGACUUUUUAGAAACCAGGACCCCAAGGGAGGGGCUUUGGCGACAUUUAGCAUUUUCUGUCAAGGAAACGCUUUGCCAUAAGAAACUGUGGAGUGAGGUGGGGUCAGGGGGCCACCUGUGACCAAUUAUCUUCCUGGCCAGCAAGAGGGCAGGGGACUGAGUGUAAUCAGGUGUCUUCCAAGAGGUGGCAAGUGUGCCAAUCAGAUAAUUUAACUUAGUUUCUUCCCCUCUUCACACAAUUUGCCACCAUUCCCUCUGGCAUUAGUCAUUCAGCUACUGCCUCACCCACUGUAUUUUGUGUAACUCUGUAAUUUUAAUUUUGGUAUUGUACUAUACAUCCUGAUAUACAUUUUGUUUCUUAGAUUUUACUUUGCACUGAAAAAUCCACCUGUUUUUGGUAUACAUGUACCUCUGCUUCAUUAGUUGUGACUCCUGCAGAGCAUGAAACUUCACACAAACUUGUAUUCACUGCAGUACUUACUCAUUCUGGUGAUGGACAUGCAGGUUGCCCCAACUCUCUGCUGCCUGAAAUUGCUGCAAUGACUGGAUUCUAUGAAGCCACUACAGAGCUAAGCUGGAAUUUCACUGAUAGACAUUCGUAGAAGUGGGAUUGCUGGGUACUCAUCAAAAAGGCUAUACAGAAAUAAACACUUGUUUAAUGCCCAUACCGUGAAAUCUAAGACCUAGAUUGUUAAGAUUAAGAUCUUACCUUUAUUUCAUGUAGAAAUUCAUACUUGUAAGAUUUUUAGUAUGACAAAUCAAAACACAGGAAGUACACCUAACUCACACUGGUCUCAGAAAAAUUCCCAGGGGAAAGUGCCUUGAGGUAAAGCUAAAAUAAUGAGUAAACUUAUGGUAAAGAACGAAGGAUUUGGGAGAAUCAUCCAAUUGAAUGAAAAUUAGACAGCAUGAAAUGUCCUCCCAUAGUAAUUGAAUCCAUCAGCAGUGACCUAAACCUGUGAAUCCAGAGAGCUUACAUGGCUCUGUCACUCCCACAACCCUCAGAGCCUGAUUUCAGCCCUUUGGGGAGAGUUUUGAUUGGCUCUAGGGCUUUCUAAGGGAUGCAGGAUAAAUUACCUGACUUUAACACCUUCUCUGUGGAUUUUUCUGGGCCAAAUCCACAGAAGUGAAACACUAGAAACUUCCUUCUUCAGUUCUUUGAAUUCAGUUUUAAGAUCAGUGAUAUUUUUCUGUGAGGAAGCUGCCUCUCUUUUUAGUUAGACAGAGGUACAAGGCAGGAAAAGACUUUUUCUUUUCCCUUUUUUUCUGUUUCCUUAAAACACACAAGAUUGAGCUCAGGCAUUCUCUUUAUCAAACUCUUCCUGUAGCUGAAAGAGGGUCUGGCUGAUUGUCACUUGUAGAAAAAAGCCAAAAGAACAAGAAUGAGGCCGGGCGUGGUGGCUCAUGCCUGUAAUCCCAGGACUUUGGGAGGCCGAGGCGGACGGAUCACGAGGUCAGGAGUUUGAGACCAGCCUCGCCUAUAUGGUGAAACCCCGUCUCUACUAAAAAUACAAAAAUUAGCUGGGUGUGCUGGCGUGCGCCUGUACUCCCAGCUACUCAGGAGGCUCAGGCAGAAGAAUCGCUUGAACCCAGGAGGCAGGGCUGCAGUGAGCUGAGAUCGUGCCACUGCACUCCAGCCUGGGCAACAGAGUGAGACUCCAUCUCAAAAAAAAAAAAAAAAAAAAGAAAAAAAAAGGAAUGAGGUGUAAUUAAAAAUAGAGUAAGUUUUAUUAUCCAUGCUAGCAAUGGGGAGAGUGGCUGGCCAAAAUUUGCCACUCUCCAAUUUCUGGAGAGAGGCCAAGCAUUUCAAGGAGAGGAGCUUGUAAUGCAGAGGGGCAAGAGGCAGGAGGUGCCCAGUGGGUGUCUCAUUCUGAUGGCUUAUCUUGAAUUAUUGUUUCACCUGGUGAAGGGGCCAGUGACAUUGUAGGCCCAAUCAAGUUACAAAUUAAUGACAGUCAAUCUUGCAGAUAAUCUCUAGCCAAGAGUGAAUAUUGUCCUUGAAUUAAUCUCCUACUGGAGAGAGAAUUCUGGAGAUGUCUGGUCUGCAUCAGGAUUCAGCCCCUGAAGCUUCUAAGGAAAUAUAUGACCAGAUAAGUGGGCAUGGUAUGAGCUUAACAAGCAUCCAGGUAAAUAAAUGAGCAUAAGGCAUGGGGGCAUAAGAUGCGAAAGGGAAGGCAGUUUUAAUGCCCAUUCCAAGGCAGUAAUUGACGACAAAAGAAAGCACAUCUGCAGUUUGUCUCAAAGCUAUGUCUAGAAACUGGGGAGAAAGAAGAAAAGAAACAAAGUUUUUAAAACGUGGUUUGAAGCUAAGCUGCUUGGUUACCUUCCAACCUUCUGCAAGAUUUUGCUGUUUUUUGUUAUUAUUAAAACAAGUAAUAGGCCAGGCGCAGUGGCUCACACUUGUAAUCCCAGCACUGUGGGAGGCUGAGUCAGGCAGAUCACUGGAACUCAGGAGUUCGGAGGGGGAAAAAAACCAAGCCUGCGCGCUCUGAGCCCCACCCCCCAUUCCCCAUGGUGUCUGAGUAGGCUCCCAGGGCGAGCAGGAUCCCUCCUCACAGGCGAGACUGGCUUCCUUGGAAAACCAAUAGUCGGACUUGCGAGUUUUCCUCCAAGAUAAUUUUCUCAGGGACUUCUAAAUGUGGUGCUGUACGCCUAUGGUCCUAGCUACUUGGCAGGCUGAAGUCGAAGGAUUGCUUGAGCCCUGGAGGUCUAAGCUGUAGUGAGCCGAGAUCGCGGCCACUGCACUCCAGCUUGGGUGACAGAGCAAGACUCUGUCAAAACAAACAAACAAAACACACACACACACACAAUGUAAACCAGGAAUAGAAGGAAACUUCCUCAACUUGAUAAUGCCCAAUUAUGAAAAACAUACAACUAAUAUCAUUCUCAACAGCGAAAGACUGAAAAUUUUUCUCCUACAAUCAGGAAUAAUGGGUGCCCACUUUCACCAUGUUAUUCAGCACAGUAUUGGCAAGGAAAAAGUAAAAUUAUCUAUGUUCACAGAUAACAUGACUUUU
rnacentral:lncRNA from 10 species